AUACCUACGGGGCGCAGCAGUAGGGAAUUUUCGGCAAUGGGGGAAACCCUGACCGAGCAACGCCGCGUGAGGGAGGAAGUAUUUCGGUACGUAAAGCUCUAUCAGCAGGGAAGAAAAAAAGUCCUUUGGACUUUGGACGGUACCUGACCAAGAAGCCCCGGCUAACUACGUGCCAGCAGCCGCGGUAAUACGUAGGGGGCAAGCGUUAUCCGGAUUUACUGGGUGUAAAGGGAGCGUAGACGGCAGCGCAAGUCUGGAGUGAAAUGCCGGGGCCCAACCCCGGAACUGCUUUGGAAACUGUGCAG
rnacentral:rRNA from 1 species